CGACCAUUAAGCCCUAGUUGCUUAGCGUUGGGACUUUACAGUGAUGUAAUUCCUUAAAAUUAGUGGCGGAGUUGGAUCAAACUCUAAGCGUAGUAAUUUCUUCUCGCUUCUGUAGUUGGCGCCCCCCUGCCGUAAAACCCCCUAUUUUUUAUGGUUGACCUCGGAUCGA
rnacentral:misc_RNA from 1 species